ACGCGGACCCAGGUGGUCCACCAUUGAAUCUACCACCGGAUUUGACAGGACAACCAACAUCCAACUGCCCGGCCAAUUUUGAUGGCAACCCUGCUGCUCAUCCCGUGGAAAAAGAGAGGAAGGCUUUCCUCACUGCGGAGGAGGAGGAGAUCUGGGCCUCCAAUGACUUGAACACCACCCGCAAAAGCGAGCUGGUUGGCCUGUUGAGGUCCAGGACUCGACUGCUGGAGACCAACGUCCAUCUUCAGCAGGCCCUCAAUGGCACUGAGGACACCUGUGCCCAACUGGAGGCUUCAAACAACGAGCUAAAGGCCCAGUU